UAAGACGAAGGUGGCGAGCGUUGUUCGGUAUUACUGGGCUUAAAGCGUGUGUAGGCGGAAAGGUAAGCGUCCUGUGAAAGCCCCCGGCUUAACCGGGGAAUUGCGAGACGUACUGCCUUUCUUGAGGCGAGUAGGGGUGCAUGGAACUCUUGGUGGAGCGGUGGAAUGCGUAGAUAUCAAGAGGAACGCCGAUGGAGAAAUCAGUGCACUGGGCUUGUCCUGACGCUGAGACACGAAAGCGUGGGGAGCGAACGGGAUUAGAUACCCCGGUAGUCCACGCCGUAAACGAUGUCUACUAGGUUGUGGAAGUUCUGACACUUGCACGACCGUAGCAAAAGUGUUAAGUAGACCGCCUGGGGAGUACGGCCGCAAGGCUA
rnacentral:rRNA from 1 species